rfam:Pteropus alecto contig90440, whole genome shotgun sequence.
GUCUACGGCCAUGCUACCCUGAACAAGCGUGAUCCUGUCUGAUCAUGGAAGCUAAGCAGGGUCAGGCCUGGUUAGUACUUGGAUGGGAGACCACGCAGGAAGACCAGGUGCUGUAGGCA